rnacentral:rRNA from 1 species
GACGAACGCUGGCGGCGUGCCUAAUACAUGCAAGUUGAGCGAUGAAGAUUGGUGCUUGCACCAAUUUGAAGAGCAGCGAACGGGUGAGUAACGCGUGGGGAAUCUGCCUUUGAGCGGGGGAUAACAUUUGGAAACGAAUGCUAAUACCGCAUAACAACUUUAAACAUAAGUUUUAAGUUUGAAAGAUGCAAUUGCAUCACUCAAAGAUGAUCCCGCGUUGUAUUAGCUAGUUGGUGAGGUAAAGGCUCACCAAGGCGAUGAUACAUAGCCGACCUGAGAGGGUGAUCGGCCACAUUGGGACUGAGACACGGCCCAAACUCCUACGGGAGGCAGCAGUAGGGAAUCUUCGGCAAUGGACGAAAGUCUGACCGAGCAACGCCGCGUGAGUGAAGAAGGUUUUCGGAUCGUAAAACUCUGUUGGUAGAGAAGAACGUUGGUGAGAGUGGAAAGCUCAUCAAGUGACGGUAACUACCCAGAAAGGAACGGCUAACUACGUG